rnacentral:rRNA from 1 species
UACAGAGGUCCCAAGCGUUGUUCGGAUUCACUGGGCGUAAAGGGUGCGUAGGUGGUCAGGUAAGUCUGAUGUGAAAUCUCUGGGUUCAACCCAGAAACUGCAUUGGAUACUAUCUGGCUAGAGGAGUGGAGGGGGGACUGGAAUACUUGGUGUAGCAGUGAAAUGCGUAGAUAUCAAGUGGAACACCAGUGGCGAAGGCGAGUCCCUGGACACUUCCUGACACUGAGGCACGAAAGCUAGGGGAGCAAACAGG